UUGAUUGGAUAAGUGCCUCAUGAAUAUGUAUUUUAUCGAUAGUAUCGUUUAAGAAACCGGAUAAUAUAUUUGACCUCAUUGCGUCACUUUAAUUAUGCAGAUUUAUGCACGACGCUACUAUACACUCGCACAAACUGAGAAGAGUUAGUUCAUUGAGAAUGGAUUGAAACUGAUGAAGAUCGAGCUGGAAGGAGUUAACUGAUGAGUAGACAUUACAACAUUUCUUAUAUUUGCAAGAUGAAGCUGAAAGUCCCAUGCAGGAUGAUGCUUCUCUACAGUGGAUGAUGAAGGCAUGCUGAUUACAAACCCAGGAGAGGAACAAAGAACAGAUAUUCACAGAAUCAUAUCUAGAG